rnacentral:rRNA from 1 species
UUGGAGGGCAAGUCUGGUGCCAGCAGCCGCGGUAAUUCCAGCUCCAGUAGCGUAUAUUAAAGUUGUUGCAGUUAAAAAGCUCGUAGUUGAACUUCGGGGUUCACCCAUUGGUCAGGCUUAAUUGUCUGUACUGGUGAGAUGAGUCUCUACCUUCUGAGGAACUUUCAUGCCAUUUGUUUGGUGUGAUUGGAAAUCAGGACUGUUACUUUGAAAAAAUUAGAGUGUUUAAAGCAGGCUAACGUCUGAAUACAUUAGCAUGGAAUAAUGAAAUAGGACGGAUUGAUUCUAUUUCGUUGGUUUCUAGGGUCACCGUAAUGAUUAAUAGGGAUAGUUGGGGGCAUUAGUAUUCAAUUGUCAGAGGUGAAAUUCUUGGAUUUAUUGAAGACUAACUACUGCGAAAGCAUUUGCCAAGGAUGUUUUCAUUAAUCAAGAACGAAAGUUAGGGGAUCGAAGACGAUCAGAUACCGUCGUAGUCUUAACCAUAAACUAUGCCGACUAGGGAUCGGACGCAGUUAAUUUUAUAAUGACGUGUUCGGCACCUUACGGGAAACCAAAG